ACCUACGGGAGGCAGCAGUAGGGAAUCUUCCACAAUGGGCGAAAGCCUGAUGGAGCAACGCCGCGUGGGUGAAGAAGGUCUUCGGAUCGUAAAACCCUGUUGUUAGAGAAGAAAGUGCGUGAGAGUAACUGUUCACGUUUCGAUGGUAUCUAACCAGAAAGCCACGGCUAACUACGUGCCAGCAGCCGCGGUAAUACGUAGGUGGCAAGCGUCAUCCGGAUUUAUUGGGCGUAAAGGGAACGCAGGCGGUCUUUUAAGUCUGAUGUGAAAGCCUUCGGCUUAACCGGAGUAGUGCAUUGGAAACU
rnacentral:rRNA from 1 species